CCUAUUCCCGCAAUAUAUACGUUCUUCAGAUAUCCCGCUGACCCGCUCUCAGACUACUCCCAUUGGUGACCGAUGGCGACAUCUGUAACUCCUCCGCUCCCCGGAGACCAAAGCAUCACCUUCCUUCGCCGGAGAUCUAAGAAACUUUUGGAAUUCAAAAGGACUGGUUUGUAGUCAACCGUUAUAUAUACGUUAUUCAGUCAUUCCGCUCUCAACAAACCCAAACACACCCAGACCCAUAGCGAUCUAUGUAACUACACUUCCGGAGACGUAAACACCCACAACUUUCAAAUGAGACUCUCAUUCAUCUCUCUAGUCCUAGAAAUUAUCAAGAUCGUUGUAAGUUUUUCUAGGGUUUUUUUGUGAUUAAGAUAUUGUAAUUUCCAUUUAAAUAUUAAAUUGUUGUUUGAAUAAGAAAGAAUCAAAGGUUAAUUGAUAAUUUUUUUUCCUCUCUGCUCGUUGGGGUUUCUACUUUCUAGUAAAACACACUCCAAUUUGCUUAUGUUUUACUGAUUCGUGACUGAUUGAUAUUUUACCAUAAACAAAUUAACGGAAGAUAGUUUAUAUUUUUAUUGCAUUUAGCCUUGUUAUCCGAUGUAUGCGUUUGUGUGAUGAAGAACAGGGCUCUGGAGUCAGGAUAUAUCCAAAUAAGAAAUUUUUUGAUGUGUAAAACUAAUUUAUGUGUAAAAUUCGGUAUGUAUUUGUUACUGAUAAAUGUUUCAUGUUAUCUUAUAUAGGAUUGAUAAGAAACUUACAUUGGACUCAUGGAUUAAUUUUGCACUGGAUCAGGUUUCACUGAAUGGACUUAAUCAGAACAACUGAACAAGACUUAAUUCAGUAAGGUUGUUUCUUUUUACUUAAUGCAUAAAGAAAGGCUUAAUGCAAAAUGCCAAGGAAAGAAGGUUUUCCCAAUUAGAGGUAGUUAUAACCUUUAGGCUACAAUAAACCUUUUCCAUUUAUAAAAAUGCCAAUUUUGAAGUUUUGAUGAUUACUAUAUUAAUGACUGAAGUGGUGUAUUUCUUUGGUCCAAGGCAAAAGAGAUCGAAUUGGCAAGUGGGAUUAUUAUUUUUCUCCCUAAUUCUACAAAAUUUAUAAAUUAUUGAAUUAAGUAGUGCUUUUAUUUGUUAGGAAUAAGCUACUGUGAAGAAGAACUAUGGUGAGAAGGUGCUUAUUCAGUGCCACCCAUGCAGUGAUGAUGUAGUUUUAACCUUAUCAAGGAGAAUUUAUAGGGAUUAGAACUGUAUUCUACUCUCGCGACCAAUGUGGGAAUGCAUAUGCUAUUGUGAAGAACUAUGGUGAGAAGGUGCUUAUUCAGGUUAGUUAAUAAGUGGUCAUAUUAGUCUUUGAUCUUCUUUCAAAAUACAGUGCCACCCAUGCUAUUUUCAAUGAUGAUAUAAGUGUAUUAAUGUAGUUUUAACCUUAUCAAGGGAAAUUUAUAGGGAUUAGAAAUGUAUUAUAAUACUCUUGCGACCCAAUUUCUCUUUUUUCCCUCUUCCUGUAAGUAAUUUUGAGCAAAUUGUUCAUCUUUAUUGGAUUCUGAUUUUUUUUUUUUAUAUUUUUUUAUUAUUACAUUUCAGGCAAACUGAUAUUUUUUGCAGUAACAAAUCGCUUUGUAUUUGGUUAAACUGGGUAGAUUUUUGAAAGUAAAAUGUUGAAAAAAGAUGAUAGAGAUGAAUAUUGUUAUAGUCUAGACAUGAAAGAGAUGAAUUAGAACAAUUGAGUAGGAAUCUGAUUGAAUGAUUAGAGUAAAAUCACUCCAGAAACAGGAUACCUAACCACUUGUUAACAGUCCUUAUUUGUACUUGUAUUCACCACCGACUUAGCUAAAAGGACUAUAAUGCCCUUGACUCAAAUAAACACAAAAGUCAAACAGUCACAACAGUUACUUCCUAUUUCUUGCAAUUAGAUUCGCAGGAGAGGACACUCACAAACCAUCUUUAUUAUCAUUUCUCACCUGUCCCUUUUACUUCAGUUCUCUAGGGAUAAAUUUCAGGAAAUAGCAGCAUACUUCUUGUAUUUCAUAUGUUAAGAAAGUAUGUAUUUCAUCUUAUUCUUUCUGGUGGCUUACUUUAAUUUUACUCUUCUUUCUAAGUUUGUGUGUUUCUGUUUUUAAAAGGAUUCAUUUUCAUAUCAGAUAUGAGGACACUGAAAGGUAAUUAACUUCAAAUUCUCUUUGUUGUCUUGUUACUGUGUUUCUAGCUAAUUCCUUUUGUAUUAUAGCAAUCCUGACCUGUGUUGGAUGCAAUUUCUUGAUAUCAUUGAUGUGAUAUUAUUAUUCUUUUUAAAUACUUGGGUAUCAUGUUUUGGGAUUCUUUAGUUACUUUAUUUCUAUUAUGGGUAUUUUUCUGUUCUCCAAAUUGGUAUGAUUGGUAUGUAAUGUAUUCAGCAGUGUAAAUUGAUGUUUUAGAUUUCAACCACCAUGUCAUUAUUGUUGUAAUUAGGAUCAUCUUCAGAUUUGGCACAAAGGAUGGAAAACCAGCCAAUGCUCCUUUAGUUCACUAGAUGUGAAUUUUUGAAAUUUCUCUAAAUAGUUUUCAUAUUUUGAUGCGUCCAUUUCUCUUUCUAAUUAUACGCAUCUAUCUACCUUUUUUAAUGGUUAUGUGUUGACGAUUGAUGUUCA